rnacentral:misc_RNA from 1 species
GAUGAAGAACGCAGCGAAAUGCGAUAAGUAAUGUGAAUUGCAGAAUUCAGUGAAUCAUCGAAUCUUUGAACGCACAUUGCGCCCCCUGGUAUUCCGGGGGGCAUGCCUGUCCGAGCGUCAUUACAACCCUCAAGCUCAGCUUGGUGUUGGGCCCCGCCGCCCCGGCGGGCCCUAAAGUCAGUGGCGGUGCCGUCCGGCUCCGAGCGUAGUAAUUCUUCUCGCUCUGGAGGUCCGGUCGUGUGCUCGCCAGCAACCCCCAAUUUUUGUCAGGUUGACCUCGGAUCAGGUAGGGAUACCCGCUGAACUUAAGCAUAUCAAUAAGCGGAGGA